rnacentral:misc_RNA from 1 species
UUUCAUAUGGUAGAUGGGCCUGUAGCUCAGCUGGUUAGAGCGCACGCCUGAUAAGCGUGAGGUCGGUGGUUCGAGUCCACUCAGGCCCACCAUCUUUACCCAAUACGGGGCCUUAGCUCAGCUGGGAGAGCGCCUGCUUUGCACGCAGGAGGUCAGCGGUUCGAUCCCGCUAGGCUCCACCAACGUGUUCUUUGAAAACUAGAUAACAGAAGUAAUUCACAUUCAAUUAGUAAUGCAAGAUAUCACGUAGUGAUUCUUUUUAACGGUUAAGUUAGAAAGGGCGCACGGUGGAUGCCUUGGCACUAGGAGCCGAU